rnacentral:rRNA from 1 species
AACGAACGCUGGCGGCAGGCCUAACACAUGCAAGUCGAGCGAGCAUUUCGGUGCUAGCGGCGGACGGGUGAGUAACGCGUGGGAACGUGCCCUUUUCUGCGGAAUAGUCCUGGGAAACUGGGGGUAAUACCGCAUACGCCCUUUUGGGGAAAGAUUUAUCGGAGAAGGAUCGGCCCGCGUUGGAUUAGGUAGUUGGUGGGGUAAUGGCCCACCAAGCCGACGAUCCAUAGCUGGUUUGAGAGGAUGAUCAGCCACACUGGACUGAGACACGGCCCAGACUCCUACGGGAGGCAGCAGUGGGGAAUCUUAGACAAUGGGGGCAACCCUGAUCUAGCCAUGCCGCGUGAGUGAUGAAGGCCUUAGGGUUGUAAAGCUCUUUCAGCUGGGAAGAUAAUGACGGUACCAGCAGAAGAAGCCCCGGCUAACUCCGUG